GGGAUGAUUGGUAGUUGUUUGACGGCAGCCAAACAAGACCUCACUUCGCCCCCAAUCAAAUACCCCCCUUGUGAAACAACCGCACGUGACUUUGACCCCCCCACGAUUCCAUCGAACCAAAAAGAUUCCGAUUACGAACCCUAAUCGUUCCACCGAUCUACUCGAUUUCUCUUCAAUUCAACUCCUCCACAUCCAUCAAUCAGAAAUCGAUAACUCAGCUUUGCGACAACAAGUGAAGUUUGACUUCGAUUCACGAGUCAAAGAGGAGGUUAGGGUUAUCUGGAAUUUGGGGGUUUAUUUAGUGAUGUGGAGUGUGAGUUCUUUUGGAGAUCAUUGUCUUUCUUUUAAAUGGUUGAAGAUGUUUUGAUGAUUCUGAGAUAUUGAAACCAACAACAAAAUGCCGGCAGUUCGGCGUUUUUCCAGAAUCGAUACUUUUGAUCUGAAAGUUCAGAUUGAAAAGAGUCUUGGUUCACAAAAGGCUGAGAAGUACUUCAAUCUGCUCACAAGGUAUUUGAGUCUUAACCUCAGAAAAUCAGAAUUUAACAAGCUUUGCUUCGGUUUGAUAGGGCGAGAGAAUAUUCACCUUCAUAAUGAACUUAUCAUGGCUAUUGUGAAAAAUGCCACUGUUUCCAAGAUACCCCCUCAAAAGCAUGUCAAAAGUGAUGGUCCUGUGACUUUAAAACUCCCAAAUGGGACCAAUCCAAGAACCGGCCUUCAGUCUCUAUGCAGAGAUGCAUUUCCUCGGUCCCCUAGAAAAGGAAGAACCCCAAAUCUUCGUGAAAGAAAGUUUAAGGAUCGGGCUAGUCCUAUUGGCCUUCAUGAAAAGACUCGAACCUCUGAAGAUUUGGCAGCAACAAAGAUUCAAGAACAACAAAGUGCUACUGAGCUGCUUUCUUUAGGCAGCAAGCCACCUGUUGAAGUUAAUUCUGUGGAAGAUGGGGAAGAAGUUGAGCAGGGUGUAAUAAGUCCUGGUGUUCAUAGUAGAAGCCCAGUUAGGGCUCCACUUGGCAUCAGUAUACACUCAAAAGAAACACGAAAAGUGCUCUGUAGUGGUUCAGAUUCUGCAUACUACACUGAGACUUGCCAUUACAAUGGUCGAUUGCCAGCCACAAACUCUUUAAAGAACAGGCUGAAGCACAAUCUGAAAACGGAGAGCUUGGAUAUCUCUAAUGAUUGUGUUAACUUAUUGAAUAAUGGGUUGGAUUCUUUUUUAAAGAUGGUUAUAAAGCCAAGCUUGGAGUUAGCUCGCUCAAGGUCUUCACAAAGGGCAGGCACAUCGUACUCAACAUCAAUGUUAGAUUUCCGGGUGGCAACACAGAUCAAUCCCAAGAUUCUUGGAGAAUUUUCACAUCUACAGCACAAGUAUUGUUAACAUUUGACAAAGAUUUUGAGUUCAUGUCUAAGUAUUGUGUUGUUAGAUACAAAAAGCAAUGACGACAAAGCCAUGCAUGCAAACAGAAAUAGUUUUGGGUGUAGAUUGAUUAGGUUGUAUAUACUUCUAAAUGCUGAUUUCUCUGAGAUGGUGAUGCUGACUGGUGAAGCAUAAGGAUACAGAUACUGUUUUUAGCAUUCUUGAGAUGAUGUCGAUUACCCCUUUUGUUUCGUGAAAAAUUGCAACAAUUUCCGUUUUAGCCUACACCUGUAAAUACAAGAGGCUUGGUAAUAACGAUCUUUGCUCAUUUUAGAUACGCGCAGGUCACUGGUCAGUGUUUCUGGUUCACUCAUGGCUGCAUGGAUCCUUUUUGGAAGGUUUGCUGGCUGGAGGGCCAUGAGUUCACCCUACUCUUGGAUCUUGAUUCAGCCAAGGGACUACUCAUAUCACAAGUAAAUAUUUCUAAUUCUUUGUUCUUGGAGAUUCUUGAAGUACAUGUGAUAUGUGGAUAUUGAGUGCAGACUGCAAUAUUAAAUCUAAAUCCUAAAACCAAAUAAAUGAAGGCAUUAGCGUUCAUAGUUCUUGCGCUAAAUAUGUGGUAGUUAAAAGAUUAUGGUAUGUUUUUCUCGGAUCCUUGUAGUAUUCUUCAAGAUUUUUCCAAAAAGACUGUUGGAUUUGGAGCCGUUGGUUAUAUACUGUAUACUAUUCGGUAUUUAUGGCGAAAUUAAAAGUUAGCUGCCGUUUGGUUCGCUGGAAUUAGAUGGAAUGGGCAUGGUCAAUUCCAUUCAUGUGUUGUAGCCAACAAAAAUCCAACUUGACUCUAAAGGUAUGAAGUUUAUAGUUUGAAAAGUCUAAGUGCAGUCGUUUGUUCUGCUUUGUUUAGUAAUGGAAUAUUGUAAUUGUUGGUCAAUUUAUGUGUAUGCAUACAUCUCACUCUGACUCUGGAGGUGGAUAUACUGGGUUUGUUUGGUUUGUUUUGGUUAAUUUACGUAGUUGAUGUAGUGUUUGGUGGGAUAAAAUGAGGGAUGGAAUGGA